GACGAACGCUGGCGGAAUGCUUUACACAUGCAAGUCGAACGGCAGCACGGACUUCGGUCUGGUGGCGAGUGGCGAACGGGUGAGUAAUGUAUCGGAACGUGCCCAGUCGUGGGGGAUAACGUAGUGAAAAUUACGCUAAUACCGCAUACGAUCUAUGGAUGAAAGCGGGGGAUCGCAAGACCUCGCGCGAUUGGAGCGGCCGAUAUCAGAUUAGGUAGUUGGGGGGGUAAAGGCCCACCAAGCCAACGAUCUGUAGCUGGUCUGAGAGGACGACCAGCCACACUGGAACUGAGACACGGUCCAGACUCCUACGGGAGGCAGCAGUGGGGAAUUUUGGACAAUGGGCGAAAGCCUGAUCCAGCCAUUCCGCGUGUAGGAUGAAGGCCCUCGGGUUGUAAACUGCUUUUGUACAGAACGAAAAGGUUUCUACUAAUACUAGGAGCUCAUGACGGUACUGUAAGAAUAAGCACCGGCUAACUACGUGCCAGCAGCCGCCGUAA
rnacentral:rRNA from 1 species